GAGUGUAGCUCAGUGGUAGAGCACUUGCCUAGCAUGUGUGAGGCCCUGGGUUCUGUUCCCAGCACCA
rnacentral:tRNA from 1 species